GCUUCUAUGGGUGAGAAGCCAGUUUAUUUUUGAAAUAUUGGGGGGGGGAAGGAUUUGAUUAAAAACGUGUACUUAAACACGACGAAAUGUAAUGAGGAGCGGAUACUUAGAAAGAAAAGUGAAAUCUCUACCGAAAUGGAAAAUAUGUCGGCGAUUCUGCGUCUGGUUUCGGAGUUGCAGUGAAUCAAAGGAAGAAAUGCAGCCGGCAGCCGUCCAUGUAAAUGGAUCCAUUCCGAUUGGACAUCUGCGAGCAUCGGGCAUUGUGAUUGGACAUCUGCGAGCAUUGGGCAUUGUGACAUCACACGAUGGGAACGAAUCAAAAGGCAGAAAGGCAGCCGGACGGACCGCAGGUGACAGGCACAGACUUUUAUAUAUUAGAUAGAAGAUAGAUGAAGGGUCAUGCUGACCAUAAAGUACACCUGAGCAGGGGUGAAGAGUAAUAUAUACAUGUAUAUAUAAAAAUUGCAAGAAGCACACCUAAUCAGUACAAAUGAUAUCAAGCCUCUUAUAAUGCAAAUAAAAAUUGCACAAUAACUCUCGGUGAACAAAUGGAUAGAUGAAGCAACAAUAGGAGGUCCUUUUCAUACAGCAUGAAAUUGACCAAAGUCAGUGUGUACAGGUUUGUUGGUUAAUUGGCUCCUGUAUAUUGUAAAUUGUCCCUACUGUAUAGGACAGUGCUGGUUGGUGCAGUGCAGGGUGAUUGCUGGUUGGUGCAGACUGGGUGGGCGGAGGGGCCUAUUUCCACACUGUAUCUCUAGUCUAAAUACUGAUGGUGGACAUAUUAUCUGAUGAUAGCCACAUGACGGUGGUCUCAUAGAGUGCAGAAACAAAACAUUGCAUCUCGUCAGUCAUAUCAUAUGAAACCACUGACUGAUUAUUCAUAUUUAUGUUGAGGACAGCAGUUACAUUUAAUCAUUUUUACUGAACAUAGUGUACAGUUUGCAAUUAAAAUUAAAAUGUCUGUUUUUGUAACAUUUGACUUACAAACCAAUGUCCUUACAAGGAUAAAACAAAGUGGAAAAUAAGAAAAUGUCUGCACUUAUGCAUAUAAUUAAUGUACAGAUUUUGUGUGUGUUGGUUCUAACUUCAGAACUACAUGGCUGGCGUACCCAGGUGCUCCCUGUAGAGGUUGGUUGUAGCCAUGUCAACAACCUGAAGGGAAUGGGAGUUAGAGGACAGGCCUUCCGGCCAGACGUCAGGUCGCUGUCAGAGGCUGCCGAGCAAAGCAGCAACUGGCUGUGGCUGAAGAGGAGGGACUCCAACUGGGCUGCAAAAUGACCAGCAAGAGGGGUAAAAUGGAGGGCAGCGCACCUGGGAUGCCAGGUGUUGCUGUUGAGCCCUCUGGCCUAUCAACGAAAUACCAAGGAAGGAAGGUGCCCACCUGAUGACGUCAAUGAAGUCUUUACCCCUACCCCCACUCAAGAUAUUAAGAAGAGCACGUAUUUGACACAAGCAUUUGAGGCAUGUCUCCAUGGAAACAGCCCAAGAGGAAGACUGUCAAAAAGAUGGAGUGACAGCCUGAAAGCAGACUGCAGCAAAAAGAACAUCAACUCUCUGGUCAGAGCUAGCCGGCUAGCUAAGGACAGAAGAGAGUGGCAGGACAUCAUGAAGCAGAUGACAUCAUUCAACCCCAAGUUGGAUAGAUAGAUAGAUAGAUAGAUUUGUUUGUUUGUUUGUUUGUCUUGGGCAUUAAGUGAACAGUUCUGACAGGCCACCUAUUAAAUGUCCAUCUUGAUGUCAAUCUCUAUAGAAGGCAAUGAAAGUGAAUAUUAAGCAUGGGUAUCUGUGUAUCCCUACCCGCUCCAUUUUAGAUGUUAUUUCAUGUCAAAUAUAUUAAUUUUACAUACAUACACUAAUCUUUUUUAGAUGUUUGAAGUUUCUGAAAUAUACUUAUUUGAUGAGGCAUUAUUACUUUGUUAAUGCAUGAUUUUCAGUUACAAAAUAACUUGCAAAAGGGUCAAACUUCAUGUCAAUGUGUAUCUCCAAAUGGGACCUCAGUGCUGCUUGUGUGGAGUUUGCAUAGGUUUCUUGUAGGUGUUCCAGUUUCCUCCCACAUCCCAAAGAAGCUCUCUGUAAAUGUCCCCAAAUGUGCAGUGAGUGGAAGGCGAGAGUGGGAUAACAUAGAACUAGUGUUAAAAAGUCUGAAGAAGGGUCCCGACAUGAAACUUCACCUAUCCAUUUUCCCCAGAGUUGCUGCCUGAACCGCUAUGUUCCCCCAGCACUUUGUGUCUAUCUUUGGUGUAAACAAGCAUCUUCAAUUCCUUGUUAUUACAUAGAACUAGUGUUUUUGUUUUUGUUUGUGGGUUUUUUUAGUUUUAACGUUUUUUUUUCAAUUUGUAUUUUUAUUAGAAGCAGAGUACAGUAGUAUAAACCGUGGCAUAUGACAAACAUUUUGUCUACAACUUCUAUUUUAAAUUUAACAAGAAAAAGGUAGAUCAAGAAAGAGAGAGAGCGAGAGAAGAAAAGAGUGAAGGCAGUAGUGAUGUGUAAACCCCGAGAGUACCAGAUGGGCAGUCCAGGGGUGAACAAGUGAUAGCCGAUAGAAAAAUAAAGACAAAAACCCAUUUAAAUUGUAAAAACAGAAAGAAAACAAAAAAAAGAGAGAAGAAAAAGAAAACAUUGUGUAGGCAUAUACCUGCUUAUAUCUUACCACACCCAUCACCCAGUUCGUGAAUCGGUUUAUUUCCAGAGUUAUGUUGCACCAUACUAUACUUGUAAUAAAUCAAUAAAUGGAGAUCAUAUCUUUAAAAAUUGCUCUGAUUACAUAGAACUAGUGUGAAUGGGUGAUUGAUGACUGGCCUGUAGGGUCUGUUUCCAUGCUGUAUAUUUAAACUACACCAAUACUUUUAAUUAUUAACUAUAUUUAAGGAUAUUUAGCCUACAUUGUUUUAUUUUGUGUGCUUUUAUUUAUCUAUAUUACUAAAUAUCUGAUCUUGACCGCUUUUGGCCCACUGUGCUGCGAUUUCCGACAGAAUGCCGUGACCUAUGGCCGUCAUUUUUGGCCACCUCGCUCAGAACCGCCCUCCGCCUUACGGGUGCAGAGGAUUUUUCCCAUUGAUGACAAAUCAGAGAGAUA